AAAGAGCUUGCUCUUUCCGGAAUUGAGUGGCAAACGGGUGAGUAACACGUAAACAACCUGCCUUCAGGAUGGGGACAACAGACGGAAACGACUGCUAAUACCGAAUAAGUUCCAAGAGCCGCAUGGCCCAUGGAAGAAAAGGUGGCCUCUACCUGUAAGCUAUCGCCUGAAGAGGGGUUUGCGUCUGAUUAGCUGGUUGGAGGGGUAACGGCCCACCAAGGCGACGAUCAGUAGCCGGUCUGAGAGGUUAACCCCCACACUGGUACUGAGACACGGACCAGACUCC
rnacentral:rRNA from 1 species